rnacentral:rRNA from 1 species
GACGAACGCUGGCGGCGUGCCUAAUACAUGCAAGUAGGACGCAGUUGCGAACGGGUGAGUAACGCGUAGGUAAGUACCAAUUAGAGGGGGAGAAGUAUUGGCAACGAUAGCUAACACCGCAGAAUAGUAGAUGGACCUGCGUUGUAUGAGCUAGGAGGUAGGGUAAUGGCCGACCUAGGCAACGAUACAUAGCCGACCUGAGGUGGUGAUCGUCAUCACUGGGACUGUGACACGGCCCAGACUCCUACGGGAGGCAGCAGUAGGGACUCUUCGGCAAUUGGGGGAACCCUGACCGCGCAACGCCGCGGGAGUGAAGAAGUUUUUCGGAUCGUAAGGCUCUGUUGUUAAGGAAGCGGUACUUAACCAGAAAGGGACGGCUAACUACGUGCCAGCAGCCGCGGUAAUAC